GACGAACGCUGGCGGCGUGUCUAAUACAUGCAAGUAGAACGCUGAAGGAGGAGCUUGCUUCUCUGGAUGAGUUGCGAACGGGUGAGUAACGCGUAGGUAACCUGCCUGGUAGCGGGGGAUAACUAUUGGAAACGAUAGCUAAUACCGCAUAAGAGUAGAUGUUGCAUGACAUUUGCUUAAAAGGUGCAAUUGCAUCACUACCAGAUGGACCUGCGUUGUAUUAGCUAGUUGGUGAGGUAACGGCUCACCAAGGCGACGAUACAUAGCCGACCUGAGAGGGUGAUCGGCCACACUGGGACUGAGACACGGCCCAGACUCCUACGGGAGGCAGCAGUAGGGAAUCUUCGGCAAUGGACGGAAGUCUGACCGAGCAACGCCGCGUGAGUGAAGAAGGUUUUCGGAUCGUAAAGCUCUGUUGUAAGAGAAGAACGAGUGUGAGAGUGGAAAGUUCACACUGUGACGGUAUCUUACCAGAAAGGGACGGCUAACUACGUG
rnacentral:rRNA from 1 species